rnacentral:misc_RNA from 1 species
AAACUGAGAACCUCUAGCACUGAAGCUUGUCAACAUUUCAUCGCUGGUCUGAUGGAACUUGCCGAGAAAAGAACAGAGGUUCACAGAAGAAGACGACUUAUUAAAGGAAACAAAAGCCAAAGAAAACGUAGCCCUGGUGAUUGAUGCUGAGUAACUGAAUAUUUGAUCCUUACGCCGGCUGUAACAAACAAUAGCCGCCGGAGUGGCUAUUGCAGUAACCAUUAGACUUGAGCGGCG